rnacentral:rRNA from 1 species
GGUUUAAUUCGAUGAUACGCGAGGAACCUUACCCGGGCUUGAAUUGCAGAGGAAGGAUUUGGAGACAAUGAACGCCCUUCGGGGUCUCUGUGAAGGUGCUGCAUGGUUGUCGUCAGCUCGUGCCGUGAGGUGUCGGCUUAAGUGCCAUAACGAGCGCAACCCCUCUCCUUAGUUGCCAUCAGUUGAAGCUGGGCACUCUGGGGACACUGCCACCGUAAGGUGUGA